UACGUAGGGGGCAAGCGUUGUCCGGAUUUAUUGGGCGUAAAGAGCUCGUAGGCGGCUCGGUUAGUCGGAUGUGAAAUCUCCACGCUCAACGUGGAGGCGCCAUCCGAUACUGCCGUGGCUUGAGUCCGGUAGGGGAGUGUGGAAUUCCCGGUGUAGCGGUGAAAUGCGCAGAUAUCGGGAGGAACACCCGUAGCGAAGGCGGCACUCUGGGCCGGUACUGACGCUGAGGAGCGAAAGCGUGGGGAGCAAACAGG
rnacentral:rRNA from 1 species